rnacentral:rRNA from 1 species
GGUUUAUGAGGUGGGAUUAGCAUGCCAGUCGAACGACCCGGACUAUGGCGGGAUGUGGCAGACUGCUCAGUAACACGUAGCUAACCUACCCUCGGGACGGGGACAACCCCGGGAAACUGGGGUUAAUACCCGAUAGGUGUGGAUUCCUGGAAUGGUGCCAUGCCUAAACGUAAGCGCAUCCAUGUUUGCGUGCACGCCCGAGGAUGGGGCUGCGGCCGAUCAGGCAGUUGGUGAGGUAAUGGCUCACCAAACCUUUGACCGGUACGGGCCGUGAGAGUGGUAGCCCGGAGAUGGGCACUGAGACAAGGGCCCAGGCCCUACGGGGCGCAGCAGGCGCGAAACCUCCACAAUUCACGCAAGUGAGAUGGGGUUACCUCGAGUGCCGCCUGAAGAAGGCGGCUUUUCCAUGGUGUAAUGAGCCGUGGGAAUAAGGGGGGGGCAAGACUGGUGUCAGCCGCCGCGGUAACACCAGCCCCCCGAGUGGUGGGGAUGAUUAUUUGGCCUAAAGCGUCCGUAGCCGGCUCGGUAAAUCUCUCGUUAAAUCCAGCGUCCUAAGCGUUGGGCUGCGAGGGAGACUGCCGAGCUAGAGGGUGGGAGAGGUCAGCGGUAUUCCUGGGGUAGGGGCGAAAUCCAUUGAUCCCAGGAGGACCACCAGUGGCGAAGGCUGCUGACUAGAACACGCCUGACGGUGAGGGACGAAAGCUGGGGUAGCGAAUCGGAUUAGAUACCCGAGUAGUCCCAGCCGUAAACGAUGCAGGCUAGGUGUUGGGUCGGCCACGCGCCGCCUCAGUGCCACAGGGAAGCCAUUAAGCCUGCCGCCUGGGGAGUACGGCCGCAAGGCUGAAAUUUAAAGGAAUUGGCGGGGGAGCACCACCAGGCGUGAAGCCUGCGGUUUAAUUGGAGUCAACGCCGGG